AUUGAACGCUGGCGGCAGGCCUAACACAUGCAAGUCGAGCGGAGCGGCGGACGGGUGAGUAAUGCCUAGGAAUCUGCCUGGUCGUGGGGGAUAACGUCCGGAAACGGGCGCUAAUACCGCAUACUAUCAGAUGAGCCUAGGUCGGUUUAGCUAGUUGGUUGGGUAAAGGCCUACCAAGGCGACGAUCCGUAACUGGUCUGAGAGGCUGAUCAGUCACACUGGAGCUGAGACACGGUCCCGAGUCCUACGGUAGGGAGCAGUGGGGAAGGUUGGGCAAUGGGGGAAAGCCUGAUCCAGCCAGGCCGCUUGGGUGAAGAAGGUCUUCGGAUUGUAAAGCCCUUUAAGUUGGGAGGCGUUAGCAGAAGAAUAAGCACCGGCUAACUUCGUGCCAGCAGCCGCGGUAAUAC
rnacentral:rRNA from 1 species